rnacentral:rRNA from 1 species
UAGGGAAUCUUCGGCAAUGGACGAAAGUCUGACCGAGCAACGCCGCGUGAGUGAAGAAGGUUUUCGGAUCGUAAAACUCUGUUGUUAGAGAAGAACAAGGACGUUAGUAACUGAACGUCCCCUGACGGUAUCUAACCAGAAAGCCACGGCUAACUACGUGCCAGCAGCCGCGGUAAUACGUAGGUGGCAAGCGUUGUCCGGAUUUAUUGGGCGUAAAGCGAGCGCAGGCGGUUUCUUAAGUCUGAUGUGAAAGCCCCCGGCUCAACCGGGGAGGGUCAUUGGAAACUGGGAGACUUGAGUGCAGAAGAGGAGAGUGGAAUUCCAUGUGUAGCGAUGAAAUGCGUAGAGAUCUGGAGGAAUACCGGUGGCGAAGGCGGCCCCCUGGACAAAGACUGACGCUCAGGUGCGAAAGCGUGGGGAGCAAACAGG